CAAGGGAUUGUCACUUUGGAUGUGUAGUCGGGCUCUUGCCUGUUGAUGUGCUGCAAGAAAAUGACAGAGUUAGAUUUGAAAGGUGCCUUUGUGGGGCCUUAGGUGUAGGCCUUGAGGCUCGCAAUCAAAACUAACUAAGUACUAUGCGUGCCACUGCUAUCUCAGUAUAGCAGAUAUAGAACAAGAUUGUGUUUAGUCGAUUACUUGUGCCCCAAGUUACUCAGAUUUCUUGUUAUCAAAAGAUUGUCGUGGAUGGGUUAAGUCCACAUUAAGUUCUUUUUCUUGCCUUGUGACCAAGGACUUUCAAUUCAUAGUCUUGUAUAUUCUAAUAAGGGGAGUCCAUAUCCCUUAAGUCAUUUGUUUGGUUCUUGGUUGGUUUUAAUGAAAACAUAUUCAUUAAGCUACCCAUAUCCAGAUACAAAUAAGACUUCUAAAGUAAGAAAACAAGCGGAAAUGACUUGAAUACAUGUUGUAGAAUACAUGAAGUAGUAGAUCUAAUAUCUUAGAAAACUCACAAAGAACUUUAAUGAAGAUUUCACCUUGUCGGUCAAGGUUGAUCUUCUUGCAAACACUUCUCUUUGAGUUUACAGAGGUUUCUAUGCUAAAAAGGGAUGGAUGGUAAACCAGUUUACAUAAGGGAAUCGAUACUACGCCACUAGGGAUGAUAGCCGAGCUUCUAAACAAGACAAAAGAUAGCUUUUGUGAGGGAGAUAUCCUGAAAAGGACUGAGAUUUUGGUUGAUUACAGCUUUUAGAUGCAAAUCUGGCUUGAGAGCAGAGUUUGUAUGUUUGUUUAGUUGAUUGGUCGAGUGUCCUUGUCUCUAGGUCUCUUCCUCCUUUUAUAGGCAAUUUAGCCCGACUGCAGUGACUUUGUUCUUGCCCGAAAGCACUUGGAGGGUAGUGAGUCAUCAGCUUUUUACUUGUAUUGCCACUGAAAAGUGCUUUUUGGCUGAUUGUGAGUUAGUCCUCAUCACUUGACAUUUAAAUCAUAAGCACAUGGCCUAUGCAUUAUUGGGAAUGCGCCAAUUUGUCUAUGGGCUUGAUGCUUGGGCCUCGGGCAAGUCUCCCUUCUAAUUGGCAUUUCUAGGCUUCCACAUACUUGCAGCUCAAUGUUCAAAUAUUAACUCAAAAAUUAGGAUAUAUUUUAGAUCAUUGGUAUUCCUACUCAACCAGUGUUAUGCUCUUUUUACACAAAUAUAAACUUGAAACCCAACAGUUUCUUUGGCUCUCAUGAGCUCAUUGGCAUCAAGACCAACGUGGACAAGCCUGAAGAAUGAUGAUAUUGCAUGACGGAAGCUUCGUCGUGAUCAGUUAAUUGCAUAUAUAGAUGUGCGAUAAAUAUUCAUGUGCAUUAUCUCAAAAAUCAAUUAUUUGCAGGUCAAAAUACUGCUGCAUCUGUAUUAACCAUGAAAUGUUCUGAUUUCUGAAGAGAACAAAGAAGCCAGAAUGGCCGAAUCGGAGUUGCAUAAAACAUAAAUAUAGUCAUGCCAU
rnacentral:lncRNA from 1 species